rnacentral:rRNA from 1 species
GAUGAACGCUAGCGGGAGGCCUAACACAUGCAAGCCGAGCGGUAUUGUUUCUUCGGCAAUGAGAGAGCGGCGUACGGGUGCGUAACACGUGUGCAACCUGCCUUUAUCUGGGGGAUAGCCUUUCGAAAGGAAGAUUAAUACUCCAUAAUAUAUUGAACGGCAUCGUUUAAUAUUGAAAGCUCCGGCGGAUAGAGAUGGGCACGCGCAAGAUUAGCUAGUUGGUGAGGUAACGGCUCACCAAGGCGGUGAUCUUUAGGGGGCCUGAGAGGGUGAUCCCCCACACUGGUACUGAGACACGGACCAGACUCCUACGGGAGGCAGCAGUGAGGAAUAGUGGUCAAUGGGUGCAAGCCUGAACCAGCCAUCCCGCGUGAAGGACGACUGCCGUAUGGGUUGUAAACUUCUUUUGUAUAGGGAUAAACCUACCCUCGUGAGGGUAGCUGAAGGUACUAUACGAAUAAGCACCGGCUAACUCCGUG